rnacentral:rRNA from 1 species
AGUGAACGCUGGCGGCAGGCCUAACACAUGCAAGUCGAGCGGCAGCCGGGUCCCCGCGAAGGGAUGCCGGCGAGCGGCGGGACGGGUGAGGAACACAUCGGAAUCUGCCUGGUUGGUGGGGGAUAACGGUAGGGAAACUUACGCUAAUACCGCAUGACGACCCUGAGUCGACGGACGUGGGGGUGAAAGUGGACGGGACCUUCGGGCCUCACGCGACCAGAUGAGCCGAUGUCGGAUUAGCUUAGUUGGGCGGGGGUAACCGG